UUCCAUCAAGUUACAUGCACAAGAAUGUCUCUACCAUACAGCAAGACUUAUAAACCAUAUUUGAAAGCCGUCGAUGGACGGGCAAAAUGCAUCCUGAACCUGCCUCCAUCAAGCAUUCAAAUGCAGGUCCCUGGCUGGAUCUUUCCAGUUUACUUAUGGUCCCCACUGCAUGCAAUACAAGGACAACGAGGCAGGACAGCAGGACAGUACCCCAUAAUUGGGGCCAUCCACCAGAAACUGAGGU